UAUAUCGAUUUUAUAUAUCUUAACAUUACACACACAUAUAUAUAUAUAUAUAUAUAUAUAUAUGCGUGAGAAAAAAGGACGAGUAUGUAUAUGUAUAUAUUUAUAUAUAUAUAUAAACGAAAAUUUAGAAGAAGGGUAGUUUCAAUGGCUGUUCAACGAGUUCAUCCGUUUAAGAUAUCAACGGUUUUUGCCCAUCUGCAGAACUACCCUGGAUUGAAUUAUAAAAAAGGUCACGGAAGAAGAAUAAUAUCAUGCUCGGAAUCACGAGAUUACAUAAAUCCGCGCUUGAUUACAGGCUCACAGGGAUCCAUAAUUUUAUAGAAAGAAAGAAAGAAAGAAAGAGAGAGAGAGAAAAGAAAAAAAAGAAGAGAAGAUACUUUAUCUCGAUUCUCGUACAAAUGUUAAUAUUUUUUUAUCUAUCUACUGUGACGUUUUCUUUGAUUGAUGGAUGAAGAAAGCAAUAUUCAUGCUCUUUUUUAUAAGAACAUCUUAUUAUAUAUCAUAAAUAGUAACAUUAUAUUACAUAGAAUGUCAAAAGGAAUUUUUUCUAAUCAAUAAAUUCAAUAUCUCCAUUUAAACAAACUUAUAAUCAUAUUUUCAUUUUAAAUUCAAUUAAUUUAUGAACGAAUCGUUUCAUUAUCGCAUCUUAUUAUUUAUAUCAGGAGCCCUUUUUUAAUCGUGCAUUACGAAGACACGUUUGAUCAGACAUUUAAAGUCAAGAUAUUGAAUUAAACUAUAAAAAAAAAAAAAAAAAAAAAAAAAAAAAAAUAUAAAGAAGUGAGAUAGAAAAAGGA